rnacentral:misc_RNA from 1 species
GAUGAAGAACGUAGCGAAAUGCGAUACUUGGUGUGAAUUGCAGAAUCCCGUGAACCAUCGAGUCUUUGAACGCAAGUUGCGCCCGAAGCCAUUAGGCCGAGGGCACGCCUGCCUGGGCGUCACACGUCGUUGCCCCCCCAUCUACUCCUUCGGGAUUGCGGGGGGCGGAUGAUGGCCUCCCGUGCGCCUCGUCGCGCGGUUGGCAUAAAUGCCAAGUCCUCGGCGACACACGCCACGACAAUCGGUGGUUGCGAAACCUCGGUUGCCCGUCGUGUGCGGUCGUCGCGCAUCGAUGGCUCGAAAAAAUUGCCGGGCUCCGGCUCGGCUUUCAACGCGACCCCAGGUCAGGCGGGGUUACCCGCUGAAUUUAAGCAUAUCAAUAAGCGGAGGA